AGAGUUUGAUUAUGGCUCAGGAUGAACGCUAGCGGCAGGCUUAACACAUGCAAGUCGAGGGGCAGCGGGAUGUAGCAAUACAUUGCCGGCGACCGGCGGAUGGGUGCGUAACGCGUAUGCAACCUACCUUAUACAGGGGAAUAACCUUUCGAAAGGGAGACUAACACCCCAUAGUAUUGAUUUAAGGCAUCUUAGAUUAAUUAAAUAUUUAUAGGUAUAAGAUGGGCAUGCGUAUGAUUAGCUAGUUGGUAAGGUAACGGCUUACCAAGGCGACGAUCAUUAGGGGUUCUGAGAGGAAGGUCCCCCACACUGGUACUGAGACACGGACCAGACUCCUACGGGAGGCAGCAGUGAGGAAUAUUGGUCAAUGGGCGCAAGCCUGAACCAGCCAUGCCGCGUGCAAGGAAGACGGCCUUAUGGGUUGUAAACUGCUUUUACAUAAGACUAACCGUAUAUUUGCGAAUAUACCUGAAUGUAUUGUGAGAAUAAGGAUCGGCUAACUCCGUGCCAGCAGCUGC
rnacentral:rRNA from 1 species